rnacentral:rRNA from 1 species
GUGAGGAAUUUUGCGCAAUGGGGGCAACCCUGACGCAGCGACGCCGCGUGGAGGACGAAGUCUUUCGGGAUGUAAACUCCUGUCAGUGGGGACGAUAAUGACGGUACCCACAGAGGAAGCACCGGCUAACUCCGUGCAAGCAGCCGCGGUAAGAAGGAGGGUGCAAGCGUUGUCCGGAAUUACUGGGCGUAAAGCGUAUGUAGGCGGCAAGUUAAGUUCAAUGUUAAAGCCCACGGCUCAACCGAGGAGAUGCAUUGAAUACUGGCUAGCUAGAGGGUGUUAGAGGAAGACGGAAUUCCCAGUGUAGCGGUGAAAUGCGUAGAUAUUGGGAGGAACAUCGGUAGCGAAAGCGGUCUUCUGGGACAUACCUGACGCUGAGGUACGAAAGCGUGGGGAGCAAACGGGAUUAGAAACCCUAGUAGUCC